GUGUCAGCAGCCGCGGUAAUACGGAGGGUGCAAGCGUUGUUCGGAAUCACUGGGCGUAAAGGGCGCGUAGGCGGCUAGUUAAGUCCGAUGUGAAAGCCCGGGGCUCAACCCCGGAAGUGCAUUGGAAACUGGGUAGCUUGAGUUCGGGAGAGGAAGGCAGAAUUCCCGGUGUAGGGUUGAAAUCCGUAGAUAUCGGGAGGAAAACCGGUGGCGAAGGCGGCCUUCUGGAACGAAACUGACGCUGAGGCGCGAAAGCGUGGGGAGCAAACAGGAUUAGAGACCCUGGUAGUCCACGCUGUAAACGAUGGAUGCUGGGUGUGGGGUUCAAUACGGAGCUCCGUGCCGAAGCUAACGCAUUAAGCAUCCCGCCUGGGGAGUACGGUCGCAAGACUAAA
rnacentral:rRNA from 1 species